GAUGAAGAACGCAGCGAAAUGCGAUAAGUAAUGUGAAUUGCAGAAUUCAGUGAAUCAUCGAAUCUUUGAACGCACAUUGCGCCCUCUGGUAUUCCGGGGGGCAUGCCUGUUCGAGCGUCAUUAUAACCACUCAAGCUCUCGCUUGGUAUUGGGGUUCGCGGUUUCGCGGCCCCUAAAAUCAGUGGCGGUGCCUGUCGGCUCUACGCGUAGUAAUACUUCUCGCGAUUGAGUUCGAUAGGUCUACUUGCCAGUAACCCCCAAUUUUUACAGGUUGACCUCGGAUCAGGUAGGGAUACCCGCUGAACUUAAGCAUAUCAAUAAGCGGAGGA
rnacentral:misc_RNA from 1 species